AGCCUCGUAGUUCAACGGUAGAGCAUCUGUCUUACAAACAGAGAGUUGCGGGUUCAAAUCCUGCCGAGGCUACCA
rnacentral:tRNA from 1 species